UGCCAGCCGCCGCGGUAAUACGGAGGGUGCAAGCGUUAAUCGGAAUUACUGGGCGUAAAGCGCGCGUAGGUGGUUCAGUCAGUCAGAUGUGAAAGCCCCGGGCUUAACCUGGGAAUUGCAUUCGAUACUGGUCAGCUAGAGUACAGUAGAGGCAAGUGGAAUUUCCUGUGUAGCGGUGAAAUGCGUAGAUAUAGGAAGGAACAUCAGUGGCGAAGGCGACUUGCUGGACUGAUACUGACGCUGAGGAGCGAAAGCGUGGGGAGCGAACGGGAUUAGAUA
rnacentral:rRNA from 1 species